rnacentral:rRNA from 1 species
UACGGGGGGGGCAAGCGUUGUUCGGAAUUACUGGGCGUAAAGGGCGCGUAGGCGGCCUGACUAAGUCGGAUGUGAAAUCCCUCGGCUCAACCGAGGAACUGCAUCCGAUACUGGCGGGCUUGAAUCCGGGAGAGGGAUGUGGAAUUCCAGGUGUAGCGGUGAAAUGCGUAGAUAUCUGGAGGAAUACCGGUGGCGAAGGCGGCCUUCU